CCUAGUAACGGCGAGUGAAGCGGGAAGAGCUCAAAUUUGAAAUCUGGUAGCCUUCGGUUGCCCGAGUUGUAAUCUAGAGAAGUGUUUUCCGUGCCGGCCCAUGUACAAGUCCCUUGGAACAGGGCGUCAUAGAGGGUGAGAAUCCCGUCCUUGACAUGGACCCCCGGUGCUUUGUGAUACACUUUCAACGAGUCGAGUUGUUUGGGAAUGCAGCUCAAAAUGGGUGGUGAAUUCCAUCUAAAGCUAAAUAUUGGCGAGAGACCGAUAGCGAACAAGUACCGUGAGGGAAAGAUGAAAAGCACUUUGGAAAGAGAGUUAAACAGUACGUGAAAUUGUUGAAAGGGAAACGAUUGAAGUCAGUCAUGCUCUUGGGACUUACCUCCCUUGAGUGGGGUCAACAUCAGUUUUGAUCGAUGGAUAAAGGCACGGGGAAGGUAGCACUCUCGGGUGAACUUAUAGCCUCGCGUCAUAUACAUUGAUUGGGACUGAGGAACGCAGCAUGCCUUAUGGCCGGGAUUCGUCCACGUACAUGCUUAGGAUGUUGACAUAAUGGCUUUAAACGACCCG
rnacentral:rRNA from 1 species